UUUCCGUAGGUGAACCUGCGGAAGGAUCAUUAUUGGAUUUUGAAACUUCAGGCUGCUGCUGGCUCUCCUCGGAGGGCAUGUGCACGCUUGUUGUCCAUUAUUUCUCCCACUGUGCACAAAUUGUAGACCUUUCAGUAGGCCGAUGUUGUUUUUCACAAUCUCUGAAUGUAAUAGAAUGGUUUUGAAUCUUGGGAAAUACAAUACAACUUUCAGCAACGGAUCUCUUGGCUCUCGCAUCGAUUAAGAACGCAGC
rnacentral:misc_RNA from 1 species